UACGUAGGUGGCGAGCGUUGUCCGGAUUUACUGGGCGUAAAGCGCGCGUAGGUGGCUUCGUAAGUCCGUUGUGAAAGUCAAAGGCUCAACCUUUGAAAGCCGAUGGAUACUGCGGAGCUAGAGUACGGAAGAGGCGAGUGGAAUUCCUGGUGUAGCGGUGGAAUGCGCAGAUAUCAGGAGGAACACCAAUAGCGAAGGCAGCUCGCUGGGACGUUACUGACACUGAGGCGCGAAAGCGUGGGGAGCGAACAGG
rnacentral:rRNA from 1 species